rnacentral:rRNA from 1 species
AUGCCAGGGGCCCGUGAUCCCUCCUACGUGUCUGGCUACCCAUAUAGCUAUGACAUCUGCUGUGAUAAUCUGAAGGAUCUUAGGUUGGCUCAUAUAAUAACUGAGCCAGAAAUUGGACUUCGUUUUCUCUUGGGGAAGUGCAAAGCAUUGGAGAAACUUUACCUGGAGUAUGUUAUUGGUCUAAAUGAGAAUGAGAUGAUUGCACUAUUCCAGAGGUGCAGCAACCUUAAAACCAUCUCACUUCGUCUCAUGCCUCUGCGAUGUGAAGAUGGUGAGUUUAGGACGCCAUUGACUGAUGCUAGCCUUAAGGCUCUAGCUCUUAGCUGCCCUAUGCUUCAGGUUGUUGAGCUCACCUUCACAUUUUGCGAUCCCAUUUAUCCUACUGAAAUAGGCUUCACACAAGAGGGUAUUAUAACGCUCAUCCAAUCAUGUCCGAUUCGUGCUCUUGUUCUAAAUGGUGCCAGCAUUUUUUAUGACGAGGGGAUGAAGGGCCUCUCAUCCUCACAGUUUCUGGAGAAGCUCGAGCUCGUGGAUUGCAGGUCUAUAACUGAUGCUGGUAUGAAUUUCAUUAUACAGGCUCCUUGCUUGAGUAGUCUCACGCUCCGCAAAUGUAAGAGAGUGACAGAUGAUGGAAUGGCUGCCUUGGCACGUGCACAAAAGCUGGAGUUGCUGAUCGUUAUAGGCUGCCGCCGGAUCUCUCAGGAAGGCGUGCAGAGAGCUGCCAAAUCAGUUCACUACUCCGGGGAGGCUGAAAGCCAUGACAGCCUAAAAGGAAUGAUCGCCAAAAGGAAAGGAUAG